UGGGGAAUUUUUCGCAAUGGGGGAAACCCUGACGAAGCAACGCCGCGUGGAGGAUGAAGGCCUUCGGGUCGUAAACUCCUGUCGACCGGGACGAAAGUAGUCCGACCCAAUACGUCGGGCUAUCGACUGUACCGGUGGAGGAAGCCACGGCUAACUCUGUGCCAGCAGCCGCGGUAAUACAGAGGUGGCAAGCGUUGUUCGGAAUUACUGGGCGUAAAGGGCGCGUAGGCGGCCUUGCAAGUCCUGCGUGAAAUCCCUCGGCUCAACUGAGGAAUUGCACGGGAAACUGUUUGGCUUGAGUUCGGGAGAGGGAAGCGGAAUUCCGGGUGUAACGGUGAAAUGCGUAGAUAUCCGGAGGAACACCGGUGGCGAAGGCGGCUUCCUGGACCGACACUGACGCUGAGGCGCGAAAGCUAGGGGAGCAAACGGG
rnacentral:rRNA from 1 species